rnacentral:lncRNA from 1 species
AAUAAGCUAAGACAACUAGGAGUAAGUUAAGAGAAGAAGAAAAUCUGCAACUUUGCUCAUUAAAAUAGCCCAAAACCGAAACACCAAGCAAGCUCUCCAUAAAGCAUGUUCAUACAUGAAACCCUAGGAGAGAAAAGUUCAAAACCAUGAAGUAUGAAGUGUAAAAGUGCCUAGCCAAAUGGAAGGGUCAGCCUCCAUUCUAAAUGUCCAUCCAAGACUCUAAAAUUGGUGGGGUCCACCUUCUAAAGAAACCCUAGCCAAAAGCUAC